rnacentral:misc_RNA from 1 species
GAUGAAGAACGCAGCGAAAGUGCGAAACGUAAUGUGAAUUGCAGAAUUCAGUGAAUCAUCGAAUCUUUGAACGCACAUUGCGCCCUUGGGUAUUCCUAGGGGCAUGCCUGUUCGAGCGUCAUAAGCAAAACUCGAGCCAUUUUUGCUUGGUGUUGGGCUUGUCGUCACGUAUCCGUGGCGUGCCUGAAAGUUCAGGGCAGUUGCCUCUGGACCUCAAAGUGUAGUAGAAUUCUCGCUUGUUUUUCAGAAAGUAACUAGCCAGCCCCACAGGGGGUGCCAAAAAGAGCAUAUUUGACCUCGGAUCAGGUAGGGACACCCGCUGAACUUAAGCAUAUCAAUAAGCGGAGGA